CACUCGAGCCAAAGCAGCCACACAGCGAUCCUGCAGAGAUGAACAAAGAAGAGAAGUCGUCUUCAGCGUUCCUCCUGAGAACUCUCAGUAUCAACAGGCUCAUUUCCUACACGGUUUGAUGGAGCAGGUCGAGAAAGGGCUCAGAUGAUCCCCGCCCACAAAGCGCGUGCCCUCGAAUCAUAUGCGCUUGAGCAAAAGGGCGCUCGAUACGAGUGCACGCGCCUGCUCUGCAAGCCACGAGGUUCCUAUCAGUGCUGAAAGAGGGCGGCGGAGAGAAGGAGCACAUAUUGGGAGAUUCAUUGUUAGAAGAAACAUGCCAGCAGCGUGAGAAACUUCAACCAUGAAUGUUCCCAUACACCUCAGCCCAGUCCAGCCCAUCCCGUCCAAGCCCAGCCCAGCCCAGCCCGGCCCAGCUGCAUGCAGACCAGCCCUAAGUCUGGUAGGUAUGUAUUGGAAUUGUUAUUCUCAAAGAAAGUUAUAAUAUGGCCUCUAAUUAUGUAAGACUGUUAGACAUUGUUCAACUUAGGGCUGUAAUUAAUGUUACUGAUUAGUGUAGCAGUUAACUAAUCUGAUGAUAUGUUUUUUAUAUAAGAGUCAAUGAGACACUGAUUAUUUUUGUGGGCUCUUUAAUGUAGAAUGUUUAAAUGUAGAACGUACUGGUAUUUAGAGAGUAAAUAUAUAGUUUCUUGGACACUUUUGGAGACACAGACCAAGUUGAGUGUUUUGUGCUUCUGUCUCCAGCACUGCAGCACUUUGUAGUGCAGUGCUUUUACAAAAGAAUAAGUAUAAAUGUGUAUAAAUCACAUUGUCGAUUAUAUUGUUUAAGGACUCCAGCCCUAAUAAAUAUCCGACAUUCUAUUGAGUUUUCACAGUCUGGUGUAUAACUAUAAAUAGCUGUAAAGCUACAUGGUUAAACGAGUGUGGAGUCAGUGUAAUUUGUUUAUGUUUAAAUAAAUAUGUUAUAUGUUAAAGCUAAUACAAAAUGUGUUGUCCUUAACGAGACACAAAAAGGGUUAAUAUAGGUUAAAUUAAAAGUAAUCACGCCUGAAGAUGUAUUAAACCAAAACAUUCCUACAAAUAAAGGUGUUAUAAAAGGUUUUUUGAGAGAUCCACUUUUGAUCCUAUUAAUGUAUAAAGGCAAAACGAAUUCUCUCAACGUAAAGGUUUACAAGGUUACAAAUCUUCUUUAUGGAAACAAACAUGAUUCUUCUGUGGCAUCCCCCAAAGAGCCUAUUGUAGCACCUUCUGUAUAAAGACUGUAAAACACUGUAUUAUUGUUUUUCUUAUUUGAAAGUGUAUAACAUUUAGAACAGAUAAACACUUUAUACAUCUAAGAUCAAGCAUUAAAACCCUUUAGAUAGUGUACUAUAGAUUGGAGCAAUGCUGUAAGGAUUUGAUUGUAUUCAGUGACAAGAAUGGUAGUGAGGACAAAAUGCUGAUUAAUUCCCACCUCACCUCAUCUGCAACUCUCCAACCCAUCCCAAAAGUACUGGAUGGAGCACCAUCAUUCCGGAAAAAACACAGUUCUUUUGCUUCAAAACUCAAUGCUGGAUAGCUUUAUAACCUUUCUAGCACACCUUUCUACCUUUCUAGCAUCAGUCAUAUUGUCAAUACAUUCCUAUUUAUCUGUUACAGAUAAAGUCUAUACAGCAUUUUCUAUUGACAGUGCUGCUCAACAGGGACUAGACAAGCUGUAAGUGUGUCAGUAAUGGAUGUGAUUUCCAGGAGCUAAAUACAUUAAUAUAAAAUAUUAUCCUGCACUAAAAAAUGCAUAGAUUUGCUGUUCUGCCUUGAACCUUUCUCUCCAAGUCCGAUGUUUUUACACUAUUCAACAAAAGUAGUGUCUGGCAGCAGUGUAACAUAAUUCAUGUUGAAUGGACACUAGAAUGGACAAUAGAAAUUCCAAAACGAUUUAGAAUAAAAUUAUUUUACAUUGGCUUCCUUUUAGUAAUAUUAAAGUAUUUUAAUAUUACUAAAUGCAUGAUGAUGUAUUAAUGUAAAAUAAGAGUAAUAUAAAGUAAUAUAUUAAAUUGUAAUUUAUCAGAUUAUUAUUCAAAUGUAAGUAUUUUUCAUAUUUUUCAUCUUGCAGUAAGCCGACUGCAGGGAAAUAACAUUGUAAUGAAUGUAUGCUUGUGUGUGUAUGAGAGAGAGAGAGUGAGAGAGAGAGAGAGAGAGAGAGAGAGAGAGAGAGAGAGAGAGAGAGAGAGAAAGAAAUAAAGCUUCUUUGUUCU